CCUCCCCCUUCAAGUUGAUCCAACUCAUCCAUCUUCUUCUUCUACCGUGUGCAAGAAUAGAGCCGUGCACACUUGCUUUAUCGACCUUUGCUCAUAGAAGAGCUCUUCUGUUUCCAAACAAGAAAAGAAGUAAACAUAUGUUGUUGCUACUGUGGAAUUCCAAGGAUGUAUUUGCGAAAAUAAAAAAAUUUGACCCUGAAAAGAAUCCGUCGUUGGAAUUGGUGAUCUCGGAAAUAAAUGUGCAUAUAUGGCUAAUGAAUUCGUUUGAUUUUGACCCCAAUGAACCUCCACCAAACGACAAUGAGGUAUCGGGGGAAGCCGAUCCAAGUAAUCCAACAAUGUGAGGUGGUCAAAAGAUGCGUUCACCUGUGUUCCAUUUUGAGCCAGGUUGUAUGCGAGGUGAUGAUGACGCUGACUAUGAAGAAGAAGAUUAUCAUGAUGGUUAUAGUGAGGAUAGUUAUGAUCUAGGCUAUAAUGAAGAGGAUUCGCCGCUGGAGGUGAUGAUGUUAUUAUAUCAUCACCUAUUGCUUCUGGACAGGUUUCUUUGUGCUAGUAGCUCCCAUAGAACUCAAGGAAGGACUUCGCUAAUUGAUUCGGAAUCGUUUAAACAUUACAACCCCUUGUUCUUGUGUGACACCUGGCAAAAAUCUAGGGAUUGCUGGUAAACGAUGUGACAGAGAUGAAUGCCAGUGAUAAAUCAAUCAGGACAUCAAGACAUGUUUUUAUAAACUUUUUACCAAUAGGUCUAUUUAUGUGCAUUUGAUAAUUCAUGACUUUAAAUAAUCUUUUUGAAUUUUUACUUACACA